rnacentral:rRNA from 1 species
CCUACGGGCGGCAGCAGUGGGGAAUAUUGGACAAUGGGCGAAAGCCUGAUCCAGCCAUGCCGCGUGUGUGAAGAAGGCCUUCGGGUUGUAAAGCACUUUCAGUGGGGAAGAAAGCCUUGGGGCUAAUACCCUCGAGGAAGGACAUCACCCACAGAAGAAGCACCGGCUAACUCCGUGCCAGCAGCCGCGGUAAUACGGAGGGUGCGAGCGUUAAUCGGAAUUACUGGGCGUAAAGCGCGCGUAGGCGGUCUGAUAAGCCGGUUGUGAAAGCCCCGGGCUCAACCUGGGAACGGCAUCCGGAACUGUCAGGCUAGAGUGCAGGAGAGGAAGGUAGAAUUCCCUGUGUAGCGGUGAAAUGCGUAGAGAUCGGGAGGAAUACCAGUGGCGAAGGCGGCCUUCUGGACUGACACUGACGCUGAGGUGCGAAAGCGUGGGUAGCAAACAGGAUUAGAUACCCCAGUAGUC